rnacentral:rRNA from 1 species
CCUACGGGUGGCAGCAGUGAGGAAUAUUGGUCAAUGGACGCAAGUCUGAACCAGCCAUGCCGCGUGCAGGAAGACGGCUCUAUGAGUUGUAAACUGCUUUUGUACGAGGGUAAACGCAGAUACGCGUAUCUGUCUGAAAGUAUCGUACGAAUAAGGAUCGGCUAACUCCGUGCCAGCAGCCGCGGUAAUACGGAGGAUUCAAGCGUUAUCCGGAUUUAUUGGGUUUAAAGGGUGCGUAGGCGGUCGGAUAAGUUAGAGGUGAAAUCCCGAGGCUCAACUUCUGUACGGCACUGGAUACUUGGGGGCGAGAGUGCGGUAGAGGUAAAGGGAAUGCGUGGUGUAGCGGUGAAAUGCUUAGAUAUCAGGAGGAACAUCGGUGGCGUAAGCGCUUUACUGGGCCGUAAUUGACGCUGAGGAACGAAGGUGUGGGUAUCGAACAGGAUUAGAUACCCGGGUAGUC